rnacentral:rRNA from 1 species
GACGAACGCUGACGGUGUGCUUUAGACAUGCAAGUCGAACGAGAAAGCCCUUCGGGGUGAGUAAAGUGGCGAACGGGUGAGUAACACGUGGGUAACCUGCCCCUCGCAGAGGGAUUACUGGGGGAAACCCCAGCUAAUACCUCGUACGCUUGCCGGGUCGCAUGGCUCGGCAAGGAAAGGUAGCUUCGGCCAUCCGGCGAGGGAUGGGCCCGCGGUCCAUUAGCUAGUUGGUGGGGUAACGGCCCACCAAGGCGACGAUGGAUAGCUGGUCUGAGAGGAUGAUCAGCCACACUGGGACUGAGACACGGCCCAGACUCCUUCGGGAGGCAGCAGUCGGGAAUCUUGCGCAAUGGGCGAAAGCCUGACGCAGCAACACCGUGUGGGCGACGAAGGCCUUCGGGUCGUAAAGCCCUGUUGUUGGGGACGAAGGACGAAGGGUUAAUAGCCCCUAGUCUGACGGUACCCUUCGAGGAAGCCCCGGCUAACUACGUGCCAGCCGCCGCAGUAAGAC